UACAGGGGCCCCAAGCGUUACUGAGAAUCACUGGGUUUAAAGGGUGCGUAGGUGGUCCGUUAAGUUCGUUGUGAAAGCCCUGGGCUCAACCCAGGAACUGCUUCGAAUACUGGCGGACUUGAGGCUAGUAGGGGUUACUGGAACUGACGGUGGAGCGGUGAAAUGCGUAGAUAUCGUCAGGAACGCCAAUGGUGAAAACAGCUCGCUGGGGGUGUACUGACACUGAGACACGAAAGCCAGGGGAGCGAACGGG
rnacentral:rRNA from 1 species